UUUACUUGUGACUGAGUUAUGAAGUUACAAAUGUGAAAUUCAUACAAUAUUAGGAUAGACUAUGGCUGAUAUUUUGUUCUAUAUUUCUGUGUUGAUUCUGCAUUUGUGUUUCACAUGUUUAUGAAACAAUGAAUUCCCUUCUUAGUUUUUUCUUCUGGAGUGUGUAACUAUUUCCAGACUAACAUUUGAGCCCCAUUUCAUAUUAUAAUAUUUAAGUCAUCAUCAGAGAUUUAAAAUGAUAUAAGGCACUAAAAUUUGAAAUCCCUGAAUAUGGGGAAGGUGUUCAUUCCUUUCUCAAGUUUUAUGUCUCUUAAAAAAUUAAAUAAAAAAUUCUGCCGUGCUGAACACAAACCCUCCUCCAUUGCAGUGGAUUUGAGCUGGCAUUAAACUCAAGGUCCCUUCUGUUUUGUCGUGAGUAAACAUGAUUCUGUCCUGUGAGCACUUUGUCCUGUCAUAAGUGGAUGUUUUCACAGCUUUCAGAGGCAGCUGUCAGUAACAUUCGAAGACCGUACGUAAAAACAGGAAAAGCUUAUGAAGAUUACAUUGCAAUUUCUCUAUGUAUUUUUUUUUCAGUAACCAGAUUAAUGUUGUGGGGUUCUCUGGUAUUUUGUUAAACUAAUACAUACCUGCAUUUGUUAAUGUUAGUGAUAUGCAAGCAAUGAUAAUGCAUAAAAGGGCUCACACUUCCAAGGUCCCUGUAAUGACAUGUAAUUGCAGGCUUGCCACAACCUUCAGAUUUAACGUAGAAAUAACUGACUUAGAAGCAGUUAUUUUGUGUUGCAAUGUCUCAUGAUAAACUGGAGUGGACAAGCUUUAGAGAUAUUUAAUACCGUUGUUGGCAGCUCUGUAUGAGUGUGUAUAUUGUGUACUUUUGCAUGCGUGUUUCAUGUUACUGUUUGUUCACACUCUAAGGAACUCGGAUUUGUACAACGAUCCACAUACCGUUCUGAGCAGAACAGUCCAUUCAUCAGCAUAGACUGCCAAAGUUUUACAAGAUGAGAAUGUACAGUGUCGUUUAGAAAUGUACCCUCACACUGCCUACUCACUUUGUUCUGUCAGAGUUAUGAUGAUGUAACAUUUGAAAACAAAGUUAUGUCAAUUUCUGUGUUUGUGAAGCUGUGAAUGAUGAUCGACUUUAUUUGGUCCCAUUGACCCUUCACAUUCAUAUUUUAUCCUCAUUAGUAGUUUACUAAUAAUAGCAGAGAAGCAGCCUUACAUUUAAAUAUUUCUUGCAAAGAAAUAUGGCAGAAGGAAAUUUUCGUGGGAGUUUAUGUUUAGUGAAACCAUAGCGUAAUUACAGUUACUCUGAAAUUAUGCCACUGUGAGGAGAUGGGGAAUUUCCUGUAUAUUCCCUUGGAUUCAAAUUGGUAUUUCAUUUGCCAGUGGUUAUUUUAAGUAUGGAAUGUUUGUACUUCAUCAUCUCCCGUAAUUUUUGAAUAAGUAACUGAUGCUACAUAAUCCCAAUGUUUCAUGAGGUGUUAUUGUUCUUUUGCUGGUACAUAGGUAGGCUCUGUGUUGUUUUCACCAUGCUGGAUGGUUUUUCUCAGUGAUUUCAUGUUUGUUUCCAGAAGAACCACAUUCCUAGGGACUCUCACUUUUGCCAAAAGUGUCAUCCAAAUCUGUUUUCCAAAAGAACUGAAAAAUAUCUUCACUUAGAAAAGUCCACUUUUGUUGAUGAAAAAGGGUGGUAGAUACAAAUGCUUAUGUCUGUGUAAUAUUAUGGACAGAAUAUUGACUUGUUCAAACAGUUCCAGAACAUCAGGAAUUUAAGGAUAAGUUUAGGGAAAUUUUGAGUAAAUACAGUUCACAAUAAGAUUGCAAAGUUUUGGUGGAAUGUACACGACUGCAUCAAGGGAGGAUCACUGGAUGAACGAAAGUAUGCUUAGUCACUUAAGAAACGUCAGAUUUUGGGUAACAGAACCCUAAGGUUCAAAACCUGUUCAUUCUACUUGUUCAUUUAUUUACUGAGUCGUGAGAUGUACUGCAUUACAAAAUGGUUUCUACAAUUGAAGUAAAUUUAAACAGCUAGCAAAAUAUGAGAGUUUAAAUGAUGGUGAAAAUUCUGAUCAUUAUUUUUUGGUUUAUGAUACUUCAGGUUCCUUCAAAAUGCAAACAUUCAUUUCACAUAGCAACAACUUUUGUUGUGCUGGUGUAGUAUAUGAAACGGUGUUUUACCUACAUGACUACAUCAUCAUCCCAGAAGACCACAAUCCAGAGCUUGGAAAUUAUUUAAGAUUCUGAACACUUGUAUUUUCUGUGUAAGUGUUUUGAACUGGAGGUUGUUAUUUAAAGUGCACAAUUUGUAACUAAACACACUUUUGUGUGAAACAAGAUUUUAUAUGCAAUGGCAGUAUUGUGUUUCUUAACGAGGAAUGAUAUCCUGACAGUUGUAACUGGGAUGUAAUAGAUAUUAACACUGCAUGUUUUAUGCAUUUUAUUUUUCCUCUAACUUUGACAUUAUAAAUGGCAUUUUUGCACGGAGAUAUUGAAGAAAUUGUCUGGUGUGGUAUUUGUAAGAGAUAAACAUUAUUUUCGUAUGUGCUAAGUAAAAUAUUUCUUGCUUCUGGUAACUCGUGUAAUGGAAUAGUAACGUUAUUUUUACUUGAGACGGCUAUGUUACAGAGAAUCCCUGAUUUGGCAUUUUGGCACAAACAGCAAACUGGCAUCAUGAACAGUCCCUUUUUCCAUAUCUUGCUCUGUGUUUCAGUGCGUAACAGAGAAAAGUGGUGUCAUGGUGAUUUUAAUAAGUUUGCAUAUUGGUAUUAACAUCAACAUAGGCACAUUUUAUUGUUAUGACAAUGCAAUUUAAUUUUGUUGAACAUAUUUUUUACAUUACAUUAAUGCAUAUGACAGUUAUAUUUGGUGUAUAAUUUUUUGAUGCAUAGUACCUAGAUGUGGUUGUAUAUUUAAUCUUGGUAUUAGUUCAUUCACAUAACACCUGUAACUUAUUUUGGGAGGUUAUAAUUGUGGCCAUAGAAAGUGACCAGUAGUAAUGAAUACCACAUAGAACAAUAUAGAGAAAUUUAUGUCGGUCACUGCAUUGACUUCCUCUCUGAACAAACUUUAUCCAUAAUUGUGUUCCUGUGAUCUGUGCUUUUAUGGUGCAGUACUUUGAUAGAACUGUUGUUUAUGGAAUAAAUUUAUGCAGUUGCCUAAAGCUUAUAUUUUUUGAUAUGUAAUAUAAACAGUUCCAAAAGGAGGUGAUUUAAUAUUUGUCACAAUAUAUUAUUAAGAAUUUUAUUGCUGUUCUGGUCAAGAUUAAUGAAUAUGCUAUUUGGACUUGUUAUACUGUAUUUUUGUUCCUUUAAAUACACAAAGAAUAUUUGGUUUACCUCAUUAACAGAUCAUUAAAACAAUAACAAAAUGCCUGUUAAAUAAGAAUUUGGGCCUAUUUUUAAUGUUAGAUUGUUAUCGGUUAUUUACCUUCUUAUCAGAUCUGAAAAUAUUUUAUUAUAACUUUAUUUUUGGUUAUAAUAGAGGUUUUUUAUUAACAUAGCUAAUGGUAUGUGUGGCCCUUUUAGGCUGUAGCAUUAUAAUAAUUUUGUACAGAUGUUUGUGCUCUUAGUGGUCUUCAGAUGUUCAUUCCUAAGAAUGCAAGAUGAUAAAUGAAAACUGAUGAGCAAUACUAAAUAAAAUGACUUCUCAUUGAG